AACGCACAUUGCGCCCUCUGGUAUUCCGGAGGGCAUGCCUGCUCGAGCGUCAUUUAAACCCCCAAGCCUCGCUUGGUCUUGGGUGCCCGGCCCCCUAGGGCCCACCCGCAACCAGUUUUGGCGGUACCGACCGGCUUCAAGCGUAGCAAGAAUUUCGCUUCCGGAGCUGUGCCGGCGCCUGCCAGGGAACAUCUUCCAGAGUUUGACCUCGGAUCAGGUAGGGAUACCCGCUGAACUUAA
rnacentral:misc_RNA from 1 species